UACGGGGGGAGCAAGCGUUGUUCGGAUUUACUGGGCGUAAAGGGCGCGUAGGCGGCCACCGCAAGUCGGUUGUGAAAUCUCCGGGCUUAACCCGGAAAGGUCAAUCGAUACUGCGGGGCUAGAGUGCAGAAGGGGCAACUGGAAUUCUCGGUGUAGCGGUGAAAUGCGUAGAUAUCAGGAGGAACACCGGUGGCGAAGGCGGCUUGCUGGGCCAGUUCUGACGCUGAGGAGCGAAAGCGUGGGGAGCGAACAGG
rnacentral:rRNA from 1 species